rnacentral:rRNA from 1 species
CCCUUAGAUGUCCUGGGCCGCACGCGCGCUACACUGAGUGUCUGAGAUACGAGUCUGCCUGGUCCGGCAAGGUCUAGGUAAUCGCUAAAAGACACAUCAUGCUUGGGAUAGAUUAUUGCAAAUAUUAAUCUUGAACGAGGAAUUCCUAGUAAGCGCAAGUCAACAGCUUGCGUUGAUUACGUCCCUGCCCUUUGUACACACCGCCCGUCGCACCUACCGAUUGAAUGGUCCGGUGAGGCCUCGGGAUUGUGGCCAGUUUCCUUUAUUGGGAGUUGGCUGCGAGAACUUGUCCAAACCUUAUCAUUUAGAGGAAGGUGAAGUCGUAACA